UACGUAGGUGGCAAGUGUUGUCCGGAUUUAUUGGGCGUAAAGGGCGCGUAGGCGGUGCGGUAAGUCUGUUGUGAAAUCUCUGGGCUCAACUCAGAGUCUGCAACGGAAACUGCCGUGCUUGAGUAUGGGAGUGGUGAGUGGAAUUCCCGGUGUAGCGGUGAAAUGCGUAGAUAUCGGAAGGAACAUCAGUGGCGAAAGCGACUUCCUGGACCAAUACUGACGCUCAUGUGCGAAAGCGUGGGGAGCAAACAGG
rnacentral:rRNA from 1 species